CCUACGGGAGGCAGCAGUCGGGAAUUUUGGGCAAUGGGCGAAAGCCUGACCCAGCAACGCCGCGUGAAGGAUGAAGUAUUUCGGUAUGUAAACUUCGAAAGAAUAGGAAGAAUUAAUGACGGUACUAUUUAUAAGGUCCGGCUAACUACGUGCCAGCAGCCGCGGUAAUACGUAGGGACCAAGCGUUGUUCGGAUUUACUGGGCGUAAAGGGCGCGUAGGCGGCGUGGUAAGUCACUUGUGAAAUCUCCGAGCUUAACUCGGAACGGCCAAGUGAUACUGCUGUGCUAGAGUGCGGAAGGGGCAAUCGGAAUUCUUGGUGUAGCGGUGAAAUGCGUAGAUAUCAAGAGGAACACCUGAGGUGAAGACGGGUUGCUGGGCCGACACUGACGCUGAUGCGCGAAAGCCAGGGGAGCAAACGGGAUUAGAUACCCCGGUAGUCCUGGCCCUAAACGAUGAAUACUUGGUGUCUGGAGUCUUAAUGCUCCGGGUGCCGUCGCUAACGUUUUAAGUAUUCCGCCUGGGGAGUACGCUCGCAAGAGUGAAACUCAAAGGAAUUGACGG
rnacentral:rRNA from 1 species